rnacentral:rRNA from 1 species
UUGAACGCUGGCGGCAUGCCUUACACAUGCAAGUCGAACGCGAAAGGGGGCAACCCUGAGUAGAGUGGCGAACGGGUGAGUAAUGCAUCGGAACGUGUCCUGUAGCGGGGGACAACCCCGAGAAAUCGGGGCUAAUACCGCAUACGUCCUACGGGAGAAAGUGGGGACCGCAAGGCCUCACACUAUAGGGGCGGCCGAUGCCGGAUUAGCUAGUUGGUGGGGUAAAAGCUCACCAAGGCAACGAUCCGUAGCUGGUCUGAGAGGAUGAUCAGCCACACUGGGACUGAGACACGGCCCAGACUCCUACGGGAGGCAGCAGUGGGGAAUUUUGGACAAUGGGCGCAAGCCUGAUCCAGCCAUGCCGCGUGAGUGAAGAAGGCCUUCGGGUUGUAAAGCUCUUUCAGCCGGAAAGAAAUCGUGCAACCUAAUACGUUGUAUGGAUGACGGUACCGAAAGAAGAAGCACCGGCUAACUACGU